GUUUUGUGAAAGACAAUUACCCAUCCUGAGUAGAAGAGAACAUCUUCUUCACGACUAAUGGCUUUCGAUAUCUAGGGUUUCUUCAUCGUCUUCUUCGAUCUCUAACCUCAACCGACAAUGGAGUUUCAGAAGGUUGCGCGAGAUAAAUCUUCAGGAAUCUAUGGGUCAAGCUCUGUUCGUGUUGUUUCGUCUGCGAUUCAUCUCCUCUCAAACGUUACAGGAUACAUUGAUCCAUAACUCCUUCGCCACACACCAAGCAUGAUACCUCAUUAGUGCUUCUAUCUCUCUUAGAGGCGGUGAUUUCCACCUAUAAAAAGAUUCUGUUGAUGAAAUGUGGAGGCAUAUAAUUUGAUGCCUCAUAUAGUAAAACUCCAUCCAGAGCAGAAUGGUUAACGAGUGAAUCUGGCCCGGUUACUUGGGACUGGAUCUCUGCUUCAGUAAUGAUAUUUUGAAUCAUAAUUCAUGAAUGUGAACAAGAUACAUACAUGAACAAUGAAUGGUCAGUCAUGGUUGGGAACAUGUGCUCGAAGCUGUCUAGAUUCCAAUCUGAAAGUGCAGCAAGUGUGAAGUGAGUACACUCUGUCCUUUUUCCCCUUACACAUUUUUGUAAGAUCAGUAGCAAUGAAGUUUUAUUGUUGUUGGUAUUUAAUAAAUUUAUUUUUGUUGAUGAAUAUAUAUGUGAAAUAUGUUCUUAAAGUUUUUCCAGAAUCCAAAUUAGAUUUGUCCUGUUUGUCAUGGGAUCUGUAAUUGUGCCGGAAUCAUAAAGGUUGGUUCUAACUGUCCAUGUAUUUCAGAAAAGGUGUGUUACGAUCCUUUUAUCUUCCAUAUUGCCAUAUUAACUUGGUUAGUCAAAAAAAACAAUCAAAUAUUUUUGGACAGACUUGAAUCUUGCCUGAGAACAAAGUUUUUUUCUCACUUAUAUUCUUAUGUUUUCUGCAGCUACCUGCAAACAGUCUGAUCAUACUUGGGAAAAAGACUUAUGUGCUAAGUUUGGUUCAGUUCCAUUGUCCAAAGUUGUAGAAGAGGACCGGUAUAUGCUCCAAUACGUUAGAGUGGCCCAGUAGGACGAUUCAGUGUGAGAAAAUGCAAUCAAGAACGCUAAAUCGCUGUAUUGGGCAGAGAUAAAUAGAGCUUCAUGUGACUUACAUUUUCAUGAUCCUGAUGUCUACGUUGAUGAUGUUAAAUGGGAUGCUGAAGUUGACACUGGAGAAUUCAUACGAUUAGGACCAGUAUUGUCAUGGAUGGAGUAGUUUCAAAACAGGAACUUGGGUAGCAAGGAAAAAAACAACAAUUUCAAAACAGAAACCUGGCUUCAAGAGAAGAAUAAUGACAACAGCUGCUACAACUACUAAGAGGUUGGGAAUUGGAACAGUAAGGAUCAACAAUGAAGAGAAAUUGGAGAAAGCGAGGAGUUGUGCAAUGUGGAGGAGAUCAGGUGGAGAACUGUCGAUUUGGAAAUGGAGAGGGAGAAGCAAAUGUGGGUUUCAGCAAUUUGAAUGGUUGAGUGAUUGAGUCUCUCUUGAUAAUAUUUUUUUCAAAAUGAAAGAGUAACAUUGUUUUCCGUUAGUAACUAUAUAGUGGAAGUGUAGAAGCUUAUAGUCAUAUUGAUUUUAUGUUUGUCGUGCCACAUAUGAAUGACAGUUAUGUAAUGAAAACCAAGAUCGAAGUGGUGCUUCAUUAUGUAGGUAAGGUAGAGUUACUCUCAGGCUUUGUAGUUUGUUUAGAAUGAAAAUCAUUUUCGCCA